rnacentral:lncRNA from 1 species
AUCACGUUCGGCACCUGGAGUGUUUGCUGUACUUUCUGUUACGUGUGCCAGCGCCUCUGUUUAACUGAGUUGACGAUGAAAGUAUUGAACAAGCAAAGAAUUGCUCAACUCCCUCGGCUUGGCUCCCUGGGGAAGGAGUUCCACCUGAUCCCAUCAGAUCUCUCUCAAAGUGACAGAAGUCCUAUGCAACUCUUUAACUUCCGCAGAUUGAAGAUGCCGCUUGCCCUGAAGGCUUUGGCCAAAGGACAGAUUACAAAACAAGAUACUGGCAACUAGUCAUUUUCUCCUCUCAAAAAGUUUAUCAAGGGCCUGCCGGUGGUGCAGCAGGUAAGUUUGCACAUUCCGCUUAGGGCGGCCUGGGGUUGGCCGGUUUGGAUCCUGGGUGCAGACAUGGCACCAUUUGGCAAGCCAUGCUGUGGUAGGUGUCCCACAUAUAAAGUAGAGGAAGAUGGGCACGGAUGUUAGCUCAGGGCCAGACUUCCUCAGCAAAAAGAGGAGGAUUGGCAGCAGAUGUUAGCUCAAGGCUAAACUUCCUCAAAAAAAAAGAAACCACACACAGAAAAAUGUUUAUCAAGCUUUCAGGGUACCCCAAGAAUUGUUGUCAAGGUUGAUCUCAAGUGGAAAACUUAUGGAGAGGUAUUCUAAU